rnacentral:tRNA from 1 species
GCUCCAGUGGCGCAAUCGGUUAGCGCGCGGUACUUAUAUAAUAGUGCAGGCGAAGCGAUGCCGAGGUUGUGAGUUCGAUCCUCACCUGGAGCA